rnacentral:rRNA from 1 species
AACGAACGCUGGCGGCAUGCCUAACACAUGCAAGUCGAACGAACCCUUCGGGGUUAGUGGCGCACGGGUGCGUAACGCGUGGGAAUCUGCCCUUUGCUUCGGAAUAACAGUUAGAAAUGGCUGCUAAUACCGGAUGAUGUCUUCGGACCAAAGAUUUAUCGGCAAGGGAUGAGCCCGCGUAGGAUUAGGUAGUUGGUGGGGUAAAGGCCUACCAAGCCGACGAUCCUUAGCUGGUCUGAGAGGAUGAUCAGCCACAAUGGGACUGAGACACGGCCCAGACUCCUACGGGAGGCAGCAGUGGGGAAUAUUGGACAAUGGGCGCAAGCCUGAUCCAGCAAUGCCGCGUGAGUGAUGAAGGCCUUCGGGUCGUAAAGCUCUUUUACCUGGGAUGAUAAUAACAGUACCUGGAGAAUAAGCUCCGGCUAACUCCGUGCCAGCAGCCGCAGUAAAAC